GAAUCUGGAGAGGAGGGCUCCAGCCCUCUUCAGGUCUCGAACAACAGGGCUGGUGCUCCUCAGAACCCGUUCCUCACACAGAACCGCAGCUUGGCUGCUCCAGUAGAAGGCAAGCCCGGAGACAGUGCAAGGUGCGCGUCAGAGGGAGCACGAAGGAUGGGUUCGCAAUUAUACGGUAAAGGUCACACGGGGGAUCACAUCAGCUCGUUCAGAAGUGAGGACACCCUUCUCCUUUCGCUACUUCCCCUGCAUGCUCUGUAGCCCUAAAGGACAUCGCACCUUAACUUUAUCAUGUUACUCCCUGUGCUCAGAAUGUGGAGUGUAACUUACACACCCUCACCUGGUCCUUGGAUGCCCAUUGUAUACAAUGCAGCACAAAUAUGAGUCCUCCACCUUCUAAUAUACCUAUGAUGAACUUUGAAUAUUUGUGCCUCAGAGACUACAAAGGACUCUCCUGUUCAUUUUCAUAAACUCCUUUGUUACUCUAGCAAUACUUAACUGCAAAGUGCCAACAUCCCCAUAGGUAAACACUGAAGAUAGCAUUCCCUUUCUCUGCCCU
rnacentral:lncRNA from 1 species